rnacentral:tmRNA from 1 species
GGGGAUGCUAGGCAUCGACGGGAAACGCUCUUUUAAAAAAGGUUAGGGCGCACCUAUGCGUUAAAUGGAAAAAACAACUGCUAACGAAGAAUUCGAAGCAGCUCAAGCUUUUUAUGCCCGACAAGCUAGGCUUUAUGCUUUUGCUUAAGGCAUAAAUUAGCAAGAGACUCUUUUUAAGUUUUUUCCGGUUCAACUUAAAAAGGGGCAACUAACCGGAAUACGGUUUUUCAGAGUUUUUGGUUGGCUGAAAAUCCUAAAACCCUCAACCGACAUUCCGUUGCCGUUUGGUUAUUUAAAGGCGCGGAAUAGAGAUAAAAAUAACCUAUCCCUAACUAAACUUUUUUAAAAAGUUUUCUCGGACCCGGGUUCAAUUCCCGGCAUCUCCACCA